CCUGCGGAGGGAUCAUUACCGAGUUUACAACUCCCAAACCCCUGUGAACAUACCACUUGUUGCCUCGGCGGAUCAGCCCGCUCCCGGUAAAACGGGACGGCCCGCCAGAGGACCCCUAAACUCUGUUUCUAUAUGUAACUUCUGAGUAAAACCAUAAAUAAAUCAAAACUUUCAACAACGGAUCUCUUGGUUCUGGCAUCGAUGAAGAACGCAGCAAAAUGCGAUAAGUAAUGUGAAUUGCAGAAUUCAGUGAAUCAUCGAAUCUUUGAACGCACAUUGCGCCCGCCAGUAUUCUGGCGGGCAUGCCUGUUCGAGCGUCAUUUCAACCCUCAAGCACAGCUUGGUGUUGGGACUCGCGUUAAUUCGCGUUCCUCAAAUUGAUUGGCGGUCACGUCGAGCUUCCAUAGCGUAGUAGUAAAACCCUCGUUACUGGUAAUCGUCGCGGCCACGCCGUUAAACCCCAACUUCUGAAUGUUGACCUCGGAUCAGGUAGGAAUACCCGCUGAACUUAA
rnacentral:rRNA from 1 species